rnacentral:rRNA from 1 species
CCUACGGGAGGCAGCAGUGGGGAAUAUUGGGCAAUGGGCGCAAGCCUGACCCAGCAAAGCCGCGUGAAGGAAGAAGGCUCUCGGGUUGUAAACUUCUUUUAAGGGGGAAGAGCAGAAGACGGUACCCCUUGAAUAAGCCAUGGCUAACUACGUGCCAGCAGCCGCGGCAAUACGUAGGUGGCAAGCGAUGUCCGGAUUUACUGGGUGUAAAGGGCGUGCAGCCGGAGAGACAAGUCAGAUGUGAAAUCCACGGGCUCAACCCGUGAACUGCAUUUGAAACUGUUUCCCUUGAGUGUCGGAGAGGUAAUCGGAAUGCGUGGUGUAGCGGUGAAAUGCGUAGAUAUAAGGAAGAACACCAGUGGCGAAGGCAGAUUACUGGACGAUAACUGACGGUGAGGCGCGAAAGCGUGGGUAGCAAACAGGAUUAGAUACCCCUGUAGUC